GGCAGUCACAAUUCCUCUGAGACCCUGAGAUCCUGGUGUGACCAAGCUUCUGGGAUGCUGGGAUCCUGGAAUCCUAAGAUCCUGGGCAUGUUAAAGCGCCUGGAAAUGGUACCUCCUCUGGAGACCAAGGGGCUGUCUGCUGUGUUCAAAAUCAAGCUGCAUCUCUAACAGAUGAGUGUUGAUCUCUGUUACACUAAAGUGUAUGUGUGCACAUGAAUGCAGGCACUCAUGGGGACCAAAAGAGGAAUACUUCGUGCCAGCAGAAGAAUCCAGCCUCUGUGACAACCAUAGAAAUGUGCUGUUCUUUAAUCGCUGGCUGACUCAGUUGUGGUGAACACCAGAGGAACAAGCUUUUUGGCUGUUUGAAUUUCAAAGAUCUCACUUUGAUACUACCAAAUGUUGGAUCUGAGAUUGCAGAGAGGAACUCUUUCUGGCUGAUGAGAAUCCUGUUAGGAUGAGGGCCUUCUCUGGACACAGUUGCAGAAAAUGAAUAGUUUCCUGAUGAGGGUCACUCAAGUUCUGAUGUGUGAGGAAUGUUCUUUAAAAUACUAUUAAAGAUAAUCUGUUAGUAUGUUAAGA
ensembl:processed_transcript Gm13266 predicted gene 13266